rnacentral:misc_RNA from 1 species
AUUAAAAAAAAAAAAAAAAAGGGGUUAGGGCCAUUUCAUGCCGCAUGUGUGUCCGGCCCAUAAAUUCCUGAAUAAAGAGUCCAAGAGAAAGACAAAAUCGCCAAUGGUACUUCUGCACAUCUUCUUCACACAUGCGUGACGCGGACCAAAUUCCUUCGAAUAAUAAUCACAAUGCACUGAAAAAUUCAGUUAAUUAACAUGAUUUCUUCUUUAGAACUUCAAGAACCGAUUGUGCAGUGCAAUAGGCAAUAGCCUGAACUGUGACCAUCGGAUUCAGUCCUAAAGCAGUUGGAAACACACUUGUAUCUGCUAUAAACAGUCCCUCUACCUCCCAUGUCUCUCCCAUCUGGUUCACCACUGAGUCCUUUGGAUUCACACCCAUUCUGCAGCUCCCCAUCUGAUGUGCUGAACAUAUCUGUGUUGAUAAAUCUCUUAGUGGUCUUACACUUUCUUCUUUCACAAACUUCUCAAACUCAUGGUAGCUCACUUUUUUAGCAUUUAUGCUUCUCCCUUCGAAGUGAUGUGUUCCAAUUUCUUCAGCACCUGCUGCUGCCAAUAUCCUUAGCAUCUUCUCCAUUCCUUUCUGCAGAUUCUCCUCAUCAGAAUCUUCCAUUUGAUAAGAUAUUGAGCUUGGAGAAUUCACUGUUCCUUUUCCUUUGUCUCUUGCCAAUGCAAAUAUGUGUGCAGUCCUUGAAAACCGGCACAUUUUCAUUUUCAUAUCGAUUCCUGAGACCCAUGGCAUCAGGCCUGAGAACAUACCUGGAUGCAAUGAUGGUGUCUGUAUAACUGCACCAUAUCCAGACUUGUCAUGAUUUGCAACGACCGUAGACAUUGCUGUCAUUAUCCCUCCUUCAUAACUCUUUUUCUCUUCCUCCGGCCAGGAGAACGGUGCAUCAGGGAAGUAGCCCCAAGCCAUUAUCACUGGAUGAAGAUGUAGAUUUUUGCCAAUGUUAGGAUUUUCCAAACCACUCCUUUUCAAUAAAGGAGGAGUACUGAGAGCACCACAUGCAACAAUAGUCACUUUUGAUUCAACCACAUACAAGUCUUUUGCCCCCUUGUACUCGAAUUCGAAAGCAACUCCGCUUGCUUUUUUUCGACUAUUUCUUCCUCUCUUUUGCUUGUGCAAUACCUUGAUGGCCUCACACCUGGGAAGAAUUGCCCCAUUACCUGAAUUCACUAAAUCCAAUAGCCAGGUCUCACAAGUGCUUUUCUUUCUUCCAUCCUUGCAGCCAAGAGAACACCAGCCACAGUAAUGAUCUGGUGAGGAAUUUCGAGGAAUGGUGUUUACAGGAUAACCCAGUUCUUGGCAUCCUUUUCUUAGAACGGCGUUAUUGAGACCUUCUUUAUGAAUUCCUGAUUGAACACCCAUUUUCUGGCAUACAACAUCCAAUGCUUCUUUGUACAAUUCACUAUCAAAUAUCUCUAGAUCGUAUUGAUCACUCCAUUCAUUUAUCACAUGUUGUGGGGUUCUGAUAGAAGAUGACCAAUUGAUUGCAGAACCUCCACCAACUGUAGAUCCUGCAAGUAUUAUAACCCCCAUAUCAUCAGUUGCCAUUUGACCACCAGCUAGGUACAUUUGAUCCAUCGUUGGCCCUUCAAGGAGGGAAAGAUUGUUUCUUGCACAAUAAUUUCCCUUCUCAAUUACAAGCACUUUAUAACCAGCUUUUGCAAGAACACCAGCAACCACACCGCCACCGCAACCAGAACCAACUACAACUGCAUCACAUUUGAUAAACAAAGAAGGAUUAGAUGAGCCGCAGGGUGCAUUAUUUUUGGAUCGGCGAGUAAGGACAGGAAAUCCAGCAAGCCGGAGAGUGUUUGCAAGUAUGUCUCGUGGAAGGUUCAUAUUAACAAGUCCUUUGUGAAGAGGUCCAUAGAGUUUUUGCUCGUCAUCAUUUGGAGAUAGCUUUAAAGCUUUGAAUUGUGGGUCAGGUCCUGGAUAGCCUAUUGCUUUCCAUGUCAGGUUCUCAUUUUUCUCAUCUACCUGAGAGAAGAAGAAAAAUAAAGCGAGAAGUUUAAUAGUCUUGAAAGCCAUCCUGAUGAGGUAGAAAAAGCUGAGAGACCAAGAAUGCAAAAUCUGUUCCCUUUUGUGGAGAGGAAGUUGAGAGAAAGUUUGAAAAUAGGGAAAAUGGAUUGAAAUGCUUGGUAGGCCGCAGAGAAUGAAGGUUCCAAUCCUUCUAGAAAGCAUCCAUAGUGCCAACCGAAUCAACCGCUUCUUUGGGUGCUUCCUUGUAGCUAUCACCUCUCCUACACGUUGAGGAAUUCCAGCCAUGGAAGCAGAAGUUUGGAAAAACCUGGCGAAAGACUCAUCAGAGGUUUUAAUAGAUGUUGAAGGCAAGAAGGUGUCACAGAUAGCUGUAAGAGAUUUCAUUUCUGCAGAGGAAAUUGACUUGAAAUAAAAGUAGUUCUCCAUCUCUUCUCCUUCAAUUAUAUCCGUUACAGUUGCUGAAGCACUUUUGUUUUCCCAAUUUCCCUUCCCAAAUCAAUUGUUU